rnacentral:rRNA from 1 species
GACGAACGCUGGCGGCGUGCUUAACACAUGCAAGUCGAACGGAAAGGCCCUGCUUUUGUGGGGUGCUCGAGUGGCGAACGGGUGAGUAACACGUGAGUAACCUGCCCCUGACUUUGGGAUAACUUCAGGAAACUGGGGCUAAUACCGGAUAGGAGCUCCUGCUGCAUGGUGGGGGUUGGAAAGUUUCGGCGGUUGGGGAUGGACUCGCGGCUUAUCAGCUUGUUGGUGGGGUAGUGGCUUACCAAGGCUUUGACGGGUAGCCGGCCUGAGAGGGUGACCGGCCACAUUGGGACUGAGAGACGGCCCAGACUCCUACGGGAGGCAGCAGUGGGGAAUAUUGCACAAUGGGCGGAAGCCUGAUGCAGCAACGCCGCGUGCGGGAUGACGGCCUUCGGGUUGUAAACCGCUUUCGCCUGUGACGAAGCGUGAGUGACGGUAAUGGGUAAAGAAGCACCGGCUAACUACGUG